rnacentral:tmRNA from 1 species
GGGACUGUCAGGUUUCUACAUGUUAUUAAUUUUUUGGAAGGUUAAUGCGAGGCCAGUUAUAAUCACUGGCAAAAAUAAAAAAUAAAUGCAAAAAACCAAAUUAUUCCUUUAUCUCAAAGUUUAGUUAAAGCUUAAUGAAAAUACGACAAUACAUCUAAGUUUUAUUAUGUUUGGGUAUCAGCUAAUAUAAUUGCACAUAGUAGUUGAUAUUUUAUUAGAGUGCUGCUCUUAAAUAACUGUUAAGUUGAAAUAUUUGACGUGUUCAAGUAAAGUUAAAUUAAUAAAGUCAAUCUACAUUUUGCUGUAUCUAGUAAUUAGAUACCUUCUGAAAUAUUUUUAUUAACAUGGACGUGGGUUCGAGUCCCACCAGUUCCA